AGCCUUCAAACUAACGCCAGCCAAAAAAUUAAAGCCAGCCAAGGUGUAAAUUGGUAGUCCCAACCCAAAGAGGUCCUUUAAAUUAACGCCAUCCCCAACAAAGAUUGUUUAUAAACGUCGUUCCUUAUAGGGCAUUCUCUAUUCUUGCAGAGUCUAAAUUGAACCAUGAAAGUAUACAGCGAAACAAGAAGAAGCAGAAGAAAGCUUAUCAUCGGCUGUACUUCCUUGGAACAUUCAUUCGCUGCUGAAUUAAUUGCCAACAAUUCAGAUCUUCUAACACAGAUCCUAAUCCGAGUCCCAGCAAAAUCCCUAAUCAGAUUCAAGUCGGUGUCAAAGCAAUGGCUCUCUCUCAUCUCCCACUCCCAAUUCGCCUCCGACCACGCUCGCCGAAAUCACCACUCCUCCGUCUCAGCCUUAUAUUUCUACUCAAACCGUUGGUCUCCCGAUGAACAGCUACAGUCUGUAUCAAUUGCUGGACACCAAACUCUUUUUCCCACACUCUCCUUUCUCGAUGGUGUCGUUGUAUCAAGUUUUGCAACUACGAUUGAACGCUCUUGCAAUGGUUUAAUCUUGUGCUCUAAUGGUUUCAGAAAACAUUCAUAUAUUGUUUGUAAUCUCACCACAAAGAAAUUCUCACUUCUUCCUGCUAUUGGUCCCACUUCAUCUGAAUCGUAUCGUAAAAAUGCUGCUGCUUUCUUGGCUUUUGAUCCUGCGAAAUCGCCUCACUAUAAAGUUUUAUUGUUUAGUUACAGUUAUGUUAAUAAUGAACACUGGGUUGAAAUUGAAAUUUACAGUUCGCAGACUUCGUCUUGGAAACACGUUUCUGUGCCUAAACCGCGAGCUGUGCCAUUCAAGUUCAGCGUGUUUUGGAACGGAGCAAUUCAUGGUAUAAGCUAUGCGAAUGUUCAUGCUCGAUUUGAGGUUGAGGAAGAGAAGUUUAUACAAACCCCAAUGCCUCGAAACCCUAAAAUCAUUUCUCCUGAUAAGAUUAGGUAUUUUGGAGAAUGUGGUGGCGAUUUGCUUCUUAUUCAGACUCCUCAGCCUUGUGCUAUGGGAUUCAGCGUCCUUCAGAUGCACAGGGAUUACUGCGGGUGGAUUGUGAAGUACCAGGUCAAUCUUAGACCCAUUUUAUCUGUAUUUCCUAAGACAGAACGCAAAACCAUAGUCACAUGCUCUGAAUUUAAUGUGCUCUGUGCCGUGAAGGGAGCGAAUGAAAAAGAUUUUACACUGGUGUUAGCUAUCUGGGGCAAAGUUAUUUCUUAUAAUGUCAAGUCCAAGACAUUGAAGGAGCUUCAUGAUUUAUCAACAGAAGAUACUGUUCAUUGGGGAGCAAGUUGGUGUAAUGCUACUUAUCAAUUCAUUGAAAGCCUAUCACCUGUUUGAUCAUUGUCCUACAUGUUUCUACUUCUUUCUUCAGCAUAUGAGAAGGAAAUUGCCACUGUAAGAAUCUGUAUCAAAUUCGGUGGAGACACUGGUUAGCGAAGCUGGAAUCAACCUUAGAAACUGUAUCAAAUUCGGUGGAGACACUGGUUAGUGAAGCUGGAAUCAACCUUAGAAACCCUUUCUCUUCAAUUUGGGAAAAAUGACCAACAACAAAAGAAAGCUAAUUAUUGGCUACAAUUCAUCGGAACAUACACCAGCUGCAGAAUUAAUUGGCAGCAAUGCAGAUAUCCUAACAGAGAUCCUUACCUGUGUGCCGGCAAAGUUCCUCAUCAGAUUCAAGUGCGUGUCUAAGGAUUGGCUCUCUUUAAUCUCCGAUUCACAAUUUUCUUGCAACCACUCUCACCGAGAUCCCAAUGCCUUGUUCUCAGGACUAUUCAUCAACCCUUGUACAUCAGACAAUGCACAAGUCAAGUUUGUCUCACUUCACGGCCACCACCAAGUCUUCCGACUCUGUCAUUCCUAAAUGGUGUUGGAGAUGGGUCUGGUACAUAGAGGAUUGAAGACUCUUGCAAAGGCUUACUGUUGAAUGGCACAUGUUUCAUUGUUUGUAACCUGACCACGCAGAAAUACACAGUACUUCCCUGCCCCUAUCAUGGUGGCAGUACAUCAUCUUCUGUACAAUUUCAUCUCAAGUUUGGUGUUUUCUGGAGUUCAUCUGGAUCAUUGGGUAAUAUGUUUGGUGGUUAUUUGGUUUUUGAUCCUUCAAAAUCACCUAACUACAAAGUUUUAUUGAUAAGUUACAUUAGGAAUAGUGAUGGAUGCUUUUAAUUAAUUGACAUAUACUCUUCGGAGAGUGCCUCUUGGACAUACAUGUGUGCCGCUGCACCACCAGGUUACUCUUUCACAAAAAGGGUAUUUUGGAAUGGGGCAAUUCAUUGGAUGAGUUACGAUAACAUUUACAUUCGAUUGGAUGUUGAUGCUCAGAAGCUAAUAGGAACUCCAAUGCCUUCAUACCCUAAAAUUCUUUCCGAAGAGAAGAUUUGGUAUUUUGGAGAAUGCUGUGGCCAUUUACUUCUUGUUCAGCUUUGUCAGUGCUGUGCUAUGGGAUUCAAAAUUCUUGAGAUGGAGAGGGACCGCUGUCAUUGGAUGUAGAAGUACCAGGUGAGUCUUGGACCUAUAAUAUCUCUUUUUCCCGAGAUAGAUGAGAGACGCAGACUCAUGCUUGAAACGCCCAGCUUCAGUAAAAUUUCUGUACUAUGUGCUGUGAAGGGAGCAAAUGAAAAAGAUUUUACGUUGGUGUUAUCUAUUCCUGGCAAAAUUGUUUCCUAUAAUCUGAAGUGCAAGACAGUGAAGGUGCUUUGUGAUUACCAAACUAGAUUUUAUGAAUGUCCUGGUUACAAGGAUGCUUCUUGUGCAUCAUAUGCUUUUGAGUAUGUUUAUGAAUUCCAUGAGAGCCUGGCCACUGUUUGAGCUUGUUCUACAUGUUGGAGCAGAUGUGCCUUUUGUAACCUUCUUAUUGUUCUAAAGCUUUUGUUUAGUA